CCACCAAAGCGAGACUGUCCUCUGCUGUGUUCCAGGCUGAUUCUGCCACGUACAGUUGGUGAUUAGGGAGAUACUUACUGAGAAAUGAACCUGUGACAGACAGAGGAAGAAAGGGAUGCAGCCGUGGAUUCGGGACCCUGGAGGGAUACGCGAUUGGAGGCAUCAUCAGAAUUGGUUGGAGGGAUCAGGGGCUCGCU